GGCCCACCCCGUGUGGCUCAGUUGGUAGAGCAUGGCGCUAGCAACGCCAGGGUUGUGGGUUCGAUUCCCACGGGGGGCCA